GUUUGGGCCUGCCUGGUGACAUCAUGAGGCUGUAAAUGUGUGAAUAGAGGGCUUGCAGUUGCUUCACAAAUCACCUAGCAACCGCACCAAGCGCCAUGUUGGAAGAACAAACUCAGUUUGUUGAAAGUCCUCCAAUCGUAGACAUGGCUGGCUGCGUUUUGCUACCACCGGAAACUUCAGGAAGAUUGCCGUUUUUUCUUCUUCUAAGGACCUAGAAAACGGAGGCAGUGGGAGAACCUAUUUAAAUACAAAGAGCCAUCAAAUCCUGUCUGCAGAUGAACAGGUCCCAAUGAAUGUCCCAAGAGAAUAAGGGUACAUACAGUGCAUUCUGAUAGUAUUCAGACCCCUUCCCUUUUCCCACAUUUUGUUAUGUUAGUCUUAUUCUAAAAUUGAUUAACUUAUUUGUUUUCCUCAAUCUACACACAAUACCCCAUAAUGACAGUGAAAACGGGUUUAGACAUUUUAGCAAAUAUACAAAACACAGAAAUCCCUUAUUUACAUAAGUAUUUAAACCUUUUGCUAUUAGAUUUGAAAUUGAGCUCAGGUGCAUCCUGUUUCCAUUGAUCAUCCUUGAUGUUUCUACAACUUGAUUGGAGUCCACCUGUGGUAAAUUCAAUUGAUUGAACAUUAUUUGGAAAAACACACAUCUGUCUAUAUAAGGUCCCACAGUUGACAGUGCAUGUCAGAGCAAAAACCAAGCCAUGAGGUUGAAGGAAUUGUCCGUAGAGCUCUGAGACAGGAUUGCGUCGAGGAACUGAUCUGGGAGAAGGGUGGCAAAAAAUGUCUGCAGCGUUGAAGGUCCCCAAGAACAUUGGCCUCCAUCAUUCUUAAAAAUGGAAGAAGUUUGGAACCACCAAGACUCUUCCUAGGGCUGAGCAAUCGGGGGAGAAGGUCAGGGAGGUGACCAAGAACCCGAUUGUCACACUGACAGCAUUCCAGAGUUCCUCUGUGGAGAUGAUUGUCCUUCUGGAAGGUUCUCCCAUCUCUGCAGCACUCCACCAAUCAGGCCUUUAUGGUAGAGUGGCCAGACAGAAGCCACUCCUCAGUAAAAGGCACAUCACAGCCUGCUUGUAUUUUCCAAAUGGUUCCUAAAGGACUCUCAGACCAUGAGAAACAAGAUUCUCUGGUCUGAUGAAACCAAUAUGGAACUCUUUGGCCCGACUGGGUCGAAGGUUCACCUUCCAACAGGACAACGACCCUAAACACACAGCCAGGACAACGCAAGAGUGGCUUCAGGACAAGUCUCUGAAUGUCCUUGAGGGGCCCAGCCAGAGCCCAGACUUGAACCCGAUCGAACAUCUCUGGAGAGACCUGAAAAUAGCUGUGCAGUGACGCUCCCCAUCCAACCUGACAGAGCUUGAGGGGAUCUGCAGAGAAGAAUGCCACACCUGUAUUUGUAAUUUCUCCCAAUCUUUUAGCAUCAUACCCAAAAAGACUCAAGGCUGUAAUCGCUGCCAAAGGUGCAUCAAAAGUCUGAAUACUUUAUGUAGAUGUGUUCAAUGACAGAUACUUUUAUCCAAGAAGGUCUGAGUGGCACAUGGAGGUGCUAAUGAAGAUGGUUUGCCUAAGACUACCACAAUUACAUUAAAACACAUUUAGCAUACUGUUAUGGGAUUUUUUGUGUUUAAUGACUAAAAUAUGUAUACAUUUGACUUAGAUGUUAGUGUAUGAAUGAAACUUAUUAUAAUCAUAAUGCUGAAUGUAAUGUGUUCUUUAUUAGAAAGGAGUUAUCUUCAGACAGGCUGGAAUGCUGUGUUCCUUACAGGACAUUCUGUCUCUACCCAGGGAGGGGAGAGACCUUGGGUUGGUUGCAGAUAGUUUAACAGGUGGCAGACAAUGUAAUGAGGCUGUGAACUGUAUUGCCAUUGUAUUCUAGAGGAGGAUGGACAUAAACUUAUGACGUCAUCUUUAUUAUAUAACCUGAUGUAAAUUGUACUACGAUUCAGUACUCUCGAGAGUAAAUGCUAUUGAUUGAUUUUGAGACUGGUUUCUGUCCAUUUUAUGCUGAUAAGUAUCUUACAAAUUUGUAUGUAUGGACAGAGUGUUUUAAUUUAAUUGGUUGAUAAAGGAAUUUUAAUUCCUAUGUUUAACACAUACAUAGUCAAAUUGUAAAGAAAGAAAAUAGUUGGGCUAUAAGAAUACGUUUUAUUCAAUGGGGCUAGGCAAAGCAGAGAUGACAAUACUUUAUUUCACCCAUACAACAAUAUAGCCUGUUAUUAAAGUACAAUACAUUUACAAUAUCAUAAACAAUAAAUAGUCUUUUACACCUUCCAAGUUACAUUUUAUAUAGUGUAAGGGGGCACUUUUUCCAUGACGACAAGGUGAAGGUGCUCUACUCAAAUCGUUUAGAUUGAUCAAAGCACAGCAUAUAACAACCAUGUUGUAUAAUUGAGGGAUGUCUCCUUUCAUAUCUGGAAAAUGGCAAAGUAGAAACUGAUGCUGCUGCAGCAUUGCUCAUCUUCACAGUGGUAAUCCAGUUGACAUGGGUGUCUUGAUAGAGGUCAGCUGGUGAACCUACAGUAGUACAUAAACAAAUUAAAAGCCCACCUGAUGUUAGAAUGUCACCUAUACCACCAGGGCUCUUAAUUGUUUGGUUGUGUUUAAUUCAUUCAGGUGUUUUAGUGUGAUAAAGAUUAAAUCUGUUGGCCUUGAACAACCAAUAGUCAAUACAGGUUGUGCUAUCCCAUUGAGGCCUUUGUCCUAUGCUGCAAUGUCCAUACAUUUUCCUUUCUCUUAUGAAUAAAGUUCUCAACAAAUUA